UACGUAGGGUGCAAGCGUUAAUCGGAAUUACUGGGCGUAAAGCGUGCGCAGGCGGUUUUGUAAGACAGGCGUGAAAUCCCCGGGCUCAACCUGGGAAUUGCGCUUGUGACUGCAAAGCUGGAGUGCGGCAGAGGGGGAUGGAAUUCCGCGUGUAGCAGUGAAAUGCGUAGAUAUGCGGAGGAACACCGAUGGCGAAGGCAAUCCCCUGGGCCUGCACUGACGCUCAUGCACGAAAGCGUGGGAGCAAACAGG
rnacentral:rRNA from 1 species